rnacentral:rRNA from 1 species
CGCCUGUUUAUUAAAAACAUGGCUUUUUGAAUGAAUGGAUAAGAAGUUUGGCCUGCCCUGUGAAUGAUUUUAACGGUUGCAACGAGAGUUGUACUAAGGUAGCGUGAUAAGUUGUCUUUUAAUUGGAGAAUGGUAUGAAUGGUUUGACGUAAAGUUACUGUCUCUGUAAAAUGAAAUGAAGUUUCCUUUUAAGUGAAAAGGCUUAAGUUUUUGUAAAAGACGAGAAGACCCUGUCGAGCUUGAUUUGAAUUAUUCUAAUUUGUAGUGGUUUUUAAGUUUUAUUGGGGCAAUAAAAAACAAAAUAACGUUUUUAUGUAUAGCUAAGAUCCUUUGGAAAGAAAGUGGCAAAAGCUACCGCAGGGAUAACAGCGUUAUCUUUCUUGAGAGAUCUUAUUGAGGGAAAGGUUUGCGACCUCGAUGUUGGAUUAUGGAAACUUUGUGGUGCAGCAGCUAUAAGUAGUAAGACUGUUCGUCUUUUAAUUCCAUACAUGAUCUGAGUUCAGACCGG